CCCCGGGCUCAACCUGGGAACUGCGUUNUGAACUGGCAGGCUAGAGUGUGUCAGAGGGGGGUAGAAUUCCACGUGUAGCAGUGAAAUGCGUAGAGAUGUGGAGGAAUACCGAUGGCGAAGGCAGCCCCCUGGGAUAACACUGACGUUCAUGCUNGAAAGCGUGGGUAGCAAACAGGAUUAGAUACCCUGGUAGUCCACGCCCUAAACGAUGUCAAUUAGCUGUUGGGCAACUUGAUUGCUUAGUAGCGUAGCUAACGCGUGAAAUUGACCGCCUGGGGAGUACGGUCGCAAGAUUAAAACUCAAAGGAAUUGACGGGGACCCGCACAAGCGGUGGAUGAUGUGGAUUAAUUCGAUGCAACGCGAAGAACCUUACCUGGUCUUGACAUGUACGGAAUCUUCCAGAGACGGGAGAGUGCCUUCGGGAACCGUAACACAGGUGCUGCAUGGCUGUCGUCAGCUCGUGUCGUGAGAUGUUGGGUUAAGUCCCGCAACGAGCGCAACCCUUGUCAUUAGUUGCCAUCAUUCAGUUGGGCACUCUAAUGAGACUGCCGGUGACAAACCGGAGGAAGGUGGGGAUGACGUCAAGUCCUCAUGGCCCUUAUGACCAGGGCUUCACACGUCAUACAAUGGUCGGUACAGAGGGUAGCCAAGCCGCGAGGUGGAGCCAAUCCCAGAAAACCGAUCGUAGUCCGGAUUGCACUCUGCAACUCGAGUGCAUGAAGUCGGAAUCGCUAGUAAUCGCAGGUCAGCAUACUGCGGUGAAUACGUUCCCGGGUCUUGUACACACCGCCCGUCACACCAUGGAAGUGGGGGAUACCAGAAGUAGGUAGGCUAACCGCAAGGAGGCCGCUU
rnacentral:rRNA from 1 species